GAUGAACGCUGGCGGCGUGCUUAACACAUGCAAGUCGAACGGAAAGGCUCCUGCUUGCAGGGGUACUCGAGUGGCGAACGGGUGAGUAACACGUGGGUGAUCUGCCCUGCACUUCGGGAUAAGCCUGGGAAACUGGGUCUAAUACCGGAUAGGACGAUGGUUUGGAUGCCAUUGUGGAAAGUUUUUCGGUGUGGGAUGAGCUCGCGGCCUAUCAGCUUGUUGGUGGGGUAAUGGCCUACCAAGGCGUCGACGGGUAGCCGGCCUGAGAGGGUGUACGGCCACAUUGGGACUGCGAUACGGCCCAGACUCCUACGGGAGGCAGCAGUGGGGAAUAUUGCACAAUGGGCGCAAGCCUGAUGCAGCGACGCCGCGUGGGUGAUGACGGCCUUCGGGUUGUAAACUCCUUUCGCUAGGGACGAAGCGCAAGUGACGGUACCUGGAGAAGAAGCACCGGCUAACUACGUG
rnacentral:rRNA from 1 species